CCAAUAGCGUAUAUUAAAGUUGUUGCAGUUAAAAAGCUCGUAGUUGAAUUUCGGGAUCGAAUUGUUGGUCGUGCUUCGGUACGUACUGGUAUUAUUGGUUCCUACCUUCUGAAGAACCGCGAUGUCAUUAAUUUGGUGUCGUGGGGAAUCAGGACUGUUACUUUGAAAAAAUUAGAGUGUUUAAAGCAGGCUUACGCUUGAAUACAUUAGCAUGGACUAAUGAAAUAGGACGUUUGAUUCUAUUUUGUUGGUUUCUAGGAUCGACGUAAUGAUUAAUAGGGAUAGUUGGGGGCAUUAGUAUUCAAUUGUCAGAGGUGAAAUUCUUGGAUUUAUUGAAGACUAACUACUGCGAAAGCAUUUGCCAAGGAUGUUUUCAUUAAUCAAGAACGAAAGUUAGGGGAUCGAAGACGAUCAGAUACCGUCGUAGUCUUAACCAUAAACUAUGCCGACUAGGGAUCGGAUGAUGUUAAUUUUUUAAUGACUCAUUCGGCGCCUUACG
rnacentral:rRNA from 1 species